rnacentral:rRNA from 1 species
GACAGAGGUCCCAAGCGUUAGGCGGAAUCACUGGGCUUAAAGCGUGUGUAGGCGGACGGGUAAGUACCUUGUGAAAUCCCACGGCUCAACCGUGGAACUGCUGGGUAUACUGCCUGUCUUGAGUCAUCUAGGGGCGAGCGGAACAAAUGGUGGAGCGGUGAAAUGCGUAGAUAUCAUUUGGAACGCCAAUGGUGAAAACAGGUAGCUGGGGCUGUGCUGACACUGAGACACGAAAGCCAGGGGAGCAAACGGG